AGUGAACGCUGGCGGCGUGCCUAAUACAUGCAAGUCGAACGGAGUGGCUCACGGGUGAGUAAUGUAUAGCUAAUCUGCCCUCCACUAGAGGACAACAGUUGGAAACAACUGCUAAUACUCUAUAGUGUAGGUGGAGGCUAUAUUGUAUCAGCUAGUUGGUGAGGUAGUGGCUCACCAAGGCUAUGACGCAUAACUGGUCUGAGAGGAUGAUCGGUCACACUGGAACGGAGGCACGGGCGAGAAUGCUACGGGAGUGAGCAGAAGGGAAUAGUGCUCAAUGGGGGUAUCCCUGAAGCAGCAACGCGGCGUGGAGGAUGACAAUGUGCGGAGCGGAAGCUCCGUUUGAUAGGGAAGCGGUACCUAACGAAUAAGCACCGGCUAACUCCGUGCCAGCCGCCGCGGUAAUAC
rnacentral:rRNA from 1 species